GGGCGAGGCGGAGCUGGGGAGCCGAGCCAAGCGGAGUGGCACUCUAAGACCUCUGGCGUCAAGAUGGUCACGACCUGCGCACCCAGGAAGGAAGACGCUGGAGCCAGGGGGGAGAUAAACAGGGUUCUGGAAGGGCCUCCCGACUACAGUAGCGGAUCAGACUCAGGAUCACCCAGUGGUCUAACACAGGCUCAGCCUGGCUCUCUGGGCAUCUGGAAUUCUCCCGAUGAAAUCUGCAAGAAACUGCAGGAGGAAAGUUCGAAACUGCAGAGACCCCAGAGAUGGCACAGGAAGGAGCUGGCUGGUGGCCACUGUGAAUUGUAAUUUGAAAGGAAUCAACCAGAAGCACUUUCUUUCCGUUGCUAGCUGGGGAACUACCCCAGGACCUGCGCAUUAUUCUCUGGAGAGCCCGAGUGGGGUUGCGAUGUUAUGCAAAUCGAGCUUAAAAGACACCAAGCGAAGAGGAAAUCGAAAUCAACAGAGUAAACUCGUAUGAAAUCUGGAACAUUCACCACACCAGGAUCUUAAAAUCUGGGGUUUUAAGGAUGCAUAGGAGCCAAGAUGUCAGAAUGUGACCAGAAGUUGGAAAAAAAAGAUGCCCACAUCAAAUAAGUACUGAAAAGAUGAGGAAAAAGAAGUUGAUUUCCAGGAAAGAAAAACGAAUAAUCUGGGGAGCUGAAGAGAUAACUUAUUGGUUAAGAGCGUGUGUUGCUUUUCUGGAGAACUCAGGUUUAAUCUCUAGCACCUACAUGGUAGCUCACAAGCAUCUAUAACUACAAUCCGAGAAUAUCUAAUUCCCUCUCCUAGCCUCUGCAGGCAAUGAAUGCACACGCCACCCAUUAAUGCAGGUAAAACACCCACACAAAAUGAAU